AUACGGAGGGUGCGAGCGUUGUUCGGAAUUACUGGGCGUAAAGGGCGCGCAGGCGGCUUGAUAAGUCAGAUGUGAAAGCCCACGGCUCAACCGUGGAAGUGCAUCUGAAACUGUCUGGCUUGAGUACUGGAGAGGAAAGUGGAAUUCCUGGUGUAGAGGUGAAAUUCGUAGAUAUCAGGAGGAACACCGGUGGCGAAGGCGACUUUCUGGACAGAUACUGACGCUGAGGCGCGAAAGCGUGGGGAGCAAACAGGAUUAGAAACCCGUGUAGUCC
rnacentral:rRNA from 1 species